UUCUCCCAAUCUCACAUCUCUCUCAGCCGUUCGUCCUUCUCCCAAUCUCACAUCUUUCUCAGCCGGAGCAGCGCCUGACCCACUGCGCUGCCGCCCCACCCACUGCGCCACCGCCCUCGCCCGUGGGACACGUCCGCUCCCAAACCGUGCCUCCGCCGCCUCCCUCUCCCCAUCCUCCCCGUCCUCCCCCUCCGACCCACCCCGCUCUCACCGGAGACGGAGCAGGUCAGAUCCAUCCGCCCAAUCGCUCGCUCGCGCGCCGGGACGACGACGACGACCUCGCCUCCGCGUGCAUGUGCUCGCGAACGGCUGACCAGAUCGAGCGCGCCAGCCUGAUUGCUCCGUCGCGCCGUCGUCGGGGCAGGUGCACGCACGCGUCCAGCGGCGAACCCUAGUUGUACCUCGGAGCGGAGACGGCGCCUUCCCGAACACCUCUGUCUGGCACAAGCCCCUCUGAAGAUAAGAUGUGCGGCAAGUGAGAUAGUUGGUCAGGUGAAAGUCAGCAUUCUUGGUGGAAGCCCUGUUGGUAAAUAACUGCAUAAGUUGCAUAAUAUGCUGCUGAUGAUGAGAACGACGAAAAAAACUAAGUAUGCUAGCUAAGAAGUUGAUGGUAAUGACGACAAAAAGGGUGUGGUGAAUCUUUCUAUAUUGCUACUUACCCGGAUAUGUAAGUGGAGUAGUACUUAAUUAGUGGCUAGGCAAUGUAAUGAACACGUAUGGGUGAGCAGAAAUAAGUACUCCGACUUCAGAUUUCAAUCUUCUGAAGUACUGGUUUUAAA